rnacentral:rRNA from 1 species
UGCUGCAUGGCUGUCGUCAGCUCGUGCCGUGAGGUGUUACGGUUAAGUCCUGUAACGAGCGCAACCCUGCCGUUAGUUACAUGUGUCUAACGGGACUGCCCGGCUCAACGUGGGAGGAAGUGGGGACGACGUCAAGUCAGCAUGGCCUUUAUAUCCUGGGCUACACACACGCUACAAUGGUCGGUACAAUGGGUCGCCAAGCCGCGAGGCGGAGCCAAUCCUCCAAAACCGGCCUCAGUUCAGAUUGUAGGCUGCAACUCGCCUGCAUGAAGUUGGAGUUGCUAGUAACCGCGCGUCAGCUAUAGUGCGGUGAACUACGUUCCCGGGGCUU